GAGUCUUAUAUUGCUUAAGGUGAAUUUUGAUGAAGGAUAGAAGCGGACCUUGACCCGUUACCUAUAUGGAGGUAAGAACCAAAGGUAUAGGAAGAUGGUUGAACGCCACACCGAUUCGGUGAUAAGUUCAAUGGAGUUCGGAUUGACACCACUAGCAAGCUAGAUAAGUCGCUUCGAGACUCGAACGAAAGAAGAGAGGAGGUAACCUCACAAGAACAAAAGUUCUAUUAAGUUUAAU
rnacentral:lncRNA from 1 species